GGAAAAAAAAAGACUGCUUCUUUCCUCUCCAUCAUUUCUUCUCUCCCCUCCCUAGCCCCCUUCUUCUUCCCCAGAACACUUAGUGACAAAGAAAAGCAGCCCAGAAUCUGCUAAAGUUGGAUGUCGUUAGGCCAGGCCACAGGAUGGUGCUAGAUGAGAGGAUGAGGGCAGGGAGUGUUGCCUAAGCUCUCAGCAUCAGAGCUGAACAAAGCUCCCUGCGGGAAAGCGGAGUACUUGCUGGCCUCAUGCUGCCACCCUGCCUAGUCUUUCUCCCACUGCUCUCUCAGAGAUGGGUAAGAAAGAACUGAUCGGGGGCAAUGAGGUGUCCUUGUGCAGAAAAAAAGAGGGGACCUGGCCAAAUAGGGAAGAGAUAUACAGUGCAUUGGCUAUUCCCUUCCCUGACCAGGGGUGCACCUUCUCCCAACUUGACCACAACACAGGGAGAUUUCAAGGCAGUGUACCCUUUCCCAGACUCAGUUUCCCCUUUAGAGAGGAGCGGGGAAGGAGAUGGGUAGUAAUUGUUUAUUUUUUCCCUCUUUUCUUUUUCUCCUCCACUUACCCCUUUUCUUCUCUCUUUUCCCAUAAAUUUCAGGGAGCCCCUCACUUUCCCAUACCAACAGACCUCGACUUUCCUUUCAGCUGGAUUCAGAGCAUGGUCUCAUGCUGGUUGGAGGACCUGGAGACCCACAAGUGCAACCAGAGGACCGACACUAUUGACUUCCUAUGGCCCUGGGCCCAGACUGGCUUCAGUGCUGAGGACCGGGAAGAGCUGCAGACAAACUUACAGAUGAGUGUGCACAAAGACACUUGUGCGUGAAGGAGAUUUAAGUGGAAAAGUCGAUGCACAGAGAAAAUCCCACUCUCUCGGCAUUGGAAGCCUGGGUCCAGUGGCAUGAAAAGUCGUUACAUCUGGAGACUUCCUCAGCUGCAUUGGAUGGCCGUGUUGUCUUUUGUGCUCCAACAUGCCCUAAGCACUCCACAGUGCUUUGCUGCAUCGCCCUCUCAGCCGUUGAACCUUCAUAUUGGUUUCUUCCGUCUGUUUGGCCGAAGCAGUCUUCACAUGCUGGGUGAGCAAAGCCCUGGUUCACCAUGGGUCUGUGACCAGAUGGCUACCCUCACAAGGUUUAGCCGGCCUGUCGAAGCCAUUGCCCGGGGUGUGGCUGCUGCCACACCCUAGCAGCUACUGGGAGCCACAAGUGAGAACUGGGUGUCAGGUGAGGGUCAGAGGCUGGAGAGCUGCCCUAGAAGGGCAAAAUGAUAUUGCUAUUGAAUAAAUUAUUCUCCUGGUUCUGCUUACUUUACUCU
rnacentral:lncRNA from 1 species